rnacentral:rRNA from 1 species
AAUGAACGCUGGCGGCAGGCCUAACACAUGCAAGUCGAACGGGUCCUUCGGGACUAGUGGCGGACGGGUGAGUAACGCGUGGGAACGUGCCCUUUGCUACGGAAUAGCCCCGGGAAACUGGGAGUAAUACCGUAUAAGCCCUACGGGGGAAAGAUUUAUCGGCAAAGGAUCGGCCCGCGUUGGAUUAGGUAGUUGGUGGGGUAAUGGCCUACCAAGCCGACGAUCCAUAGCUGGUUUGAGAGGAUGAUCAGCCACACUGGGACUGAGACACGGCCCAGACUCCUACGGGAGGCAGCAGUGGGGAAUCUUAGACAAUGGGGGAAACCCUGAUCUAGCCAUGCCGCGUGAUCGAUGAAGGCCUUAGGGUUGUAAAGAUCUUUCAGGUGGGAAGAUAAUGACUGUACCACCAGAAGAAGCCCCGGCUAACUCCGUGCCAGCCGCCGCGGUAAGAC